rnacentral:rRNA from 1 species
AUUGAACGCUGGCGGCAGGCCUAACACAUGCAAGUCGAGCGGUAACAUUUCAAAAGCUUGCUUUUGAAGAUGACGAGCGGCGGACGGGUGAGUAAUGGCUGGGAACCUGCCCUAACGAGGGGGAUAACAGUUGGAAACGACUGCUAAUACCGCAUAAUGUCUACGGGCCAAAGAGGGGGACCUUCGGGCCUCUCGCGUCAGGAUAUGCCUAGGUGGGAUUAGCUAGUUGGUGAGGUAAGGGCUCACCAAGGCGACGAUCCCUAGCUGGUCUGAGAGGAUGAUCAGCCACACUGGAACUGAGACACGGUCCAGACUCCUACGGGAGGCAGCAGUGGGGAAUAUUGCACAAUGGGCGCAAGCCUGAUGCAGCCAUGCCGCGUGUGUGAAGAAGGCCUUCGGGUUGUAAAGCACUUUCAGCAGUGAGGAAGGUGGUGUAGUUAAUACCUGCGCCAUUUGACG